GCCCUGAGCUAACAUCUGCAGCUAAUCCUCCUUUUUUCGUAUUUUUUGCUGAGGAAGACUGGCCCUGAGCUAACCUCCAUGCCCAUCUUCCUCUACUUUGUAUGUGGGACACCCACCACAGCAUGGCUUGACAAGCGGUGCGUAGGUCUGCACCCAGGAUCCGAACUGGCGAACCCUGGGCCGCCAAAGUGGAAUGUGUGAACUUAACUGUGUGCCACUGGGUUGGUCCCUGGCCCAAGUUAAUUUUGAUACACCACUUUUGUCAUUCCAUAGCAUAUUAGGUCUACCUUUAUAUGCUCAUCACAUAGUAAAAUAUUUUGUCCACUUAACCUUCUCUACCACUAAAUUGUGAGGUCUAUUAAUAUAUGUAAAUAAUAUUUAUCUAGAACCUAUACAUUCCAGGAUUUUAUUUUAUUAAGUAUGAUUGACUUGCAAUAACCUAUUAGUUUCAGGUGUAUAUUGUAAGAAUUCAAUAUUUAUACACAUUACAAAAUGAUCACCCCAUUAAGCCUAGUUACAAUCUGUCACCAUACAAAGUUAUUACAAUAUUAUUAACUAUAUUCCCUAUGCUGCACAUUACUUAUUUAUUUUAUAACUGGAAGUAUGUACCUCUUAAUACCCUUCACCUAUUAUGCCCAAACCCCAACCACUCCCUACUCUGUUAACCCCAGUUUGUUUCCUGUUAUCUGUGAGUGUGUUUCUGUUUUGUUUUGUUUGUUCAUUUGUUUUGUUUUCUAGAUUCCACAUAUAAGUGAAAUCAUACAGUAUUUGUCUUUCUCUGACUUAUUUCACUUAGCAUAAUACACUCUAGGUCCAUCCAUGUUGCUGCAAAUGGCAAUAUUUCAUUAUUUUUUAUGGCUGAGUGAUAUUCUAUUGUAAAUACAUAUCACAUCUUCUUUACCCUUUAUCUAUCCGUGCACACUUGGGUUGCUUCCACAUCUUGGCUAUUGUAAAUAAUGCUGCAAGGAACAUGAGGGUGUACAGAUCACUUCAAAUUAAUGUUUUCAUUGUCUUUGGAUAAAUAUCUGGAAGUAAAAUUUCUGGACAAUAUGGUACUUCUAUUUUUAAUUUUUUGAGGAACUUCUGUACUGUUUUCCAUAGUGGCUGCAUCAAUUUACAUUCUCAUCAACAGUGUACAAAGGUUCCCUUUUCUCCACAUCCUCACCAACACUUGCUAUUUUUGCCUUUUUGAUAAUAACCAUUCUGACAGGUAUGAGGUGGUAUCCCAUUGUGGUCUUGAUUUGCGUUUUCCUAAAGAUUACUGAUACUGAGCAUCUUCUCAUGUGCUUGUUGGGCAUCUAUAUGUCCUCUUUGGAAAAAUGUCUGUUCAAGUCUUCUGCCCAGUUUUUAAUUAGGUUGUUUGGUUUUUUUAUAUUAAGUUGUGUAAGUUCUUUAUAUAUUUUGGGUAUUAACCCCUUAUUGGAUGUAAGUUUUGCAAUUAUCUUUUCCCAUUCAGUAGUUGCCUUUUUAUUUUAUUGAUGGUUUCCUUCAUUAUGCGAAAACUUUUUAGUUUGGUAUAAUCCUAUUUGUUUAUUUUUACUUGUGUUACCCUUGCCUGAGGAGAUUGGUCACAAAAACUAUUGCUAAGACCUAUGUCAAAGAACUGACUGUCUAUGUUUUCUUCUAGGAGGAUUACGGUUUCAGGUUUUAUAUACAAGUUUUUAAUCCAUUUCAAAUUUAUUUUUGUAUAUGGUGUAAGAUAGUAGUCCAGUUUCUUUUUUUUCUUUUGCAUGUAGCUGUCCAGUUUUCCCAACAAUAUAUAUUGAAGAGACUGUCUUUUCCCCAUUGUAUGUUCAUGCCCUUUGUUGUGGAUUAAUUGAUAUAUGGGUUUAUUUUUGGACUUUCUAUUCUACUCUAUUGAUCUAUGUGUCUGUUUUCAUGCCAGUACCAUACCAUUUGAUGACUAUAGCUUUGUAGUAUAAUUUGAAAUCAGAGAGCAUAAUACCUCCAACUUUGUUCUUUUUUUCUCAAGAUUUUUUGGCUAUUCAAGGUCUUUUGUGGUUCCAUACAAAUUUUAGGAUUCUUUAUUCUAGUUCUGUGAAAAAUGUUGUUGGUAUUUUGAUGGGGAUUGCAUUGAAUCUGUAGACUGCUUUGAGUAGUAUGGACAUUUUGGCAAUAUUAAUUCUUCCAAUCAGUAAGCAUGGAAUACCUUUCCAUUUAGCUGUGCCAUCUUCAAUUUCUUUCAUUGGCAUCUUAUAGUUUUCAGUGUACCAGUCUUUUACCUCCUUGGUUAAGUCUAUUCCUAGGUAUUUUAUUGUUUUUGAUGCAAUUAUAAAUUGGAUUCUUUUAUUAAUUUCUUUCUGAUAGUUCACUAUUAGUGUAUAGAAACACUACUUAUUUCUGUAUAUUAAUUAUUUUAUCUUGCAACUUCACAGAAUUAACUUAUUAGUUCUAAUAGUUUUUUGUUGGAGUCUUUAGGGUUUUCUAUGUAUAGUAUCAUGUCAUCUGCAAAUAGUGACAAUUUUACUUCUUCCUUUCUAAUAUGGAUGGCUUUUAUUUCUUUGUCUUGCCUAAUUAUUGUGGCUAGGAAUUCGUAUACUAUGUUGAAUAAAAGUAGUGAGUGGGCAUCCCUGUCUCAUUCCUAAUCUUAGAGGAAAGCUUUCAGAUUUGACCAUUGAGUACCAUGUUAACAGUGGCUUUGUCAUAUAUGGCUUUUAUUAUGUUGAGGUAUGUUCCUUCUAUACCC
rnacentral:lncRNA from 1 species